ACCCUCGUAGCUCAGGGAUAGAGCAUCGGUUUCCUCAACCGCGUGCUCCAGGUUCGAAUCCUACCGAGGGCA
rnacentral:tRNA from 1 species